rnacentral:rRNA from 1 species
AUGGAGACGUGGGCGCGGUGGCGGUGGUGGGUGGUGGCCGCCGCCGGCGUGCUCUGCGCGGUCCUGCCGCCGCCGGCGUGCUCUGCGCGGUCCUGCCGCCGCCGGCCGCCGCCACGCUCUCUCCCACCGGCAUCAACUACGAAGUGGUGGCGCUCAUGGCCAUCAAGACGGAGCUGCAGGACCACUACAACGUGCUCGACAACUGGGACAUCAACUCCGUCGACCCCUGCAGCUGGAGGAUGGUCACCUGCUCCUCCGACGGCUACGUCUCCGCGCUUGGUCUGCCCAGCCAACGCCUGUCCGGAAAACUGUCGCCCGGCAUCGGGAACCUCACCAGGCUGCAAUCUGCUAUUGCAGAACAACGCGAUUUCCGGCACUAUUCCCAGCACCAUAGGCAGGCUGGGGAUGCUCCAGACGCUCGACAUGUCAGACAAUCAUCUCACCGGGAGCAUCCCGACUUCACUCGGCGAUCUCAAGAACCUCAACUAUCUGAAAUUGAAUAACAACAGUUUAUCUGGAGUCUUACCUGAAUCACUGGCCACCAUUAAUGGCCUCGCACUUGUAGACCUCUCGUUUAACAACCUGAGCGGUCCCGUGCCAAAGAUUUCUGCAAGAACUUUCAGCAUUGCUGGGAAUUCAAUGAUCUGUGGCGUCAAGUCUGGAGACAAUUGCUCGUCCGUGUCGCUGGACCCGCUUUCUUAUCCACCAGAUGACCUUAAGAUUCAGCCACAACAAGCCAUGUCAAGAAGUCACCGAAUUGCUAUCAUCUGUGGAGCAACUGUGGGUUCUGUAGCGUUUGUCGCUAUUGUGGUCAGUAUGCUUCUUUGGUGGAGGCAUAGGCGUAAUCAGCAGAUAUUUUUUGAUGUAAAUGCUACAGAUCAAUAUGACCCAGAAGUAUGCUUGGGCCAUCUGAAAAAGUACACCUUCAAGGAGCUUCGAGCAUCUACCAACAAUUUCAACUCAAAAAACAUAUUAGGUGAAGGUGGCUAUGGAAUAGUAUACAAGGGUUUCUUACGUGAUGGUUCGAUUGUUGCUGUUAAAAGAUUGAAAGACUACAAUGCUGUUGGUGGGGAAGUUCAAUUUCAAACUGAAGUUGAAGUCAUAAGCUUAGCUGUUCAUCGGAAUCUCCUACGGCUCAUUGGAUUCUGCACUACAGAGUGCGAGAGAUUACUUGUCUAUCCUUAUAUGCCAAAUGGAAGUGUUGCUUCUCAAUUGCGUGAGCAUAUAAAUGGCAAGCCAGCUCUAGAUUGGUCGAGGAGAAAGAUGAUAGCACUGGGUACAGCGAGAGGGCUGCUUUAUUUGCAUGAGCAGUGUGAUCCAAAAAUAAUCCAUCGUGAUGUAAAAGCCUCCAAUGUGCUUCUUGAUGAAUAUUUUGAAGCAAUUGUGGGUGAUUUCGGACUGGCAAAACUGUUGGAUCACCAGGAGACCCAUGUUACCACUGCAGUGCGUGGUACCGUGGGACACAUAGCUCCAGAGUAUUUGUCAACUGGGCAGUCAUCGGAGAAGACAGAUGUGUUUGGGUUUGGGGUCCUGUUGGUUGAGUUGAUCACUGGCCAGAAAGCAUUAGAUUUCGGAAGACUGGCAAAUCAGAAGGGCGGAGUGCUUGAUUUGGUAAAGAAGCUCCAUCAGGAGAAGCAGCUGAACAUGAUGGUGGACAAAGACCUGGGCAGCAACUACGACAGGGUGGAGCUGGAGGAGAUGGUGCAGGUGGCCCUGCUGUGCACGCAGUACUACCCGUCCCACCGCCCCAGGAUGUCGGAGGUGAUCCGGAUGCUGGAAGGCGACGGGCUCGCGGAGAAAUGGGAGGCGUCGCAGAACGUGGACACGCCCAAGUCCGUCUCGUCGGAGCUCCUGCCCCUGAAGUUCACCGAUUUCGCGGGGGCGGACGAGUCCUCGGUCGGCCUCGAGGCCAUGGAGCUCUCCGGACCAAGGUGA